rnacentral:rRNA from 1 species
CCCGCCUCCAUGGGAGGUCCCGCCUGCCCAGUGGACUUACUAAACGGCCGCGGUACCCUAACCGUGCUAAGGUAGCGCAAUCACUUGCCCCUUAAAUAGGGGCUAGUAUGAACGGCAUCACGAGGGUUACCCUGUCUCCCCCCUUUAAUCAGUGAAACUAACCCCCCCGUGAAGAGGCGGGGAUUAUCCUAUAAGACGAGAAGACCCCAUGGAGCUUCAAAUACAUGUCACCCACCACUAAUACACCAACAGAACCAACGGAUCUGACCUCUGUUUUAGGUUGGGGCGACCACGGAGUAAAACUCAACCUCCGAGACGAACCCUAAUUCAAGAAUGACCCCUCAAAAAUCAAAACUGACGUAAUUGACCCAAAUUUAUUUGAUCAACGAAC